GGGUACAAACUGAGAAGCUGCGCUCUGAAGGUAGGGCUGGGCUUUUCACUGACCAUGUAGGUGGAUUAGUUGUGUGGGCAAAGUGUGUCAUCAUAGCCACUAUGUUUUCUGCACUUGGACUAGACAGCACCUUGAUAGCUCAGUUGGUAGAGCAGAGGACUGUAGGCAGUUCCUCCUAUGAAGUGCUGUGGUUCCAAGGUCGCUGGUUCAACUCCCGCUCAAAGCAAGCCUUGUGUUCAUCUGUCAGCUCCUCCAAAAUUUAAAAACACAAACAAGAUAACUCCUACUUUAUUUUCCAACCAUCAAUUUUUUAUUCACCCAGCCUAAAAGUCCUGAUUAUCAGUUCUGGGUCCCUGGCAAUGACUGUUGGGUACAAACUGAGAAGCUGUGCUCUGAAGGUAGGGCGGGACUUUUCACUGACCAUGUUGGUGGAUUAGUUGUGUGGGCAAAGUGUGUCAUCAUAGCCACUAUGUUUUCUGCACUUGGAGUAGACAGCACCUUGAUAGCUCAGUUGGUAGAGCAGAGGACUGUAGGCAGUUCCUCCUAUGAAGUGCUGUGGUUCCAACGUCGCUGGUUCAACUCCCGCUCAAAGCAAGCCUUGUGUUCAUCUGUCAGCUCCUCCAAAAUUUAAAAACACAAACAAGAUAACUCCUACUUUAUUUUCCAACCAUCAAUUUUUUAUUCACCCAGCCUAAAAGUCCUGAUUAUCAGUUCUGGGUCCCUGGCAAUGACUGUUGGGUACAAACUGAGAAGCUGUGCUCUGAAGGUAGGGCUGGGCUUUUCACUGACCAUGUAGGUGGAUUAGUUGUGUGGGCAAAGUGUGUCAUCAUAGCCACUAUGUUUUCUGCACUUGGAGUAGACAGCACCUUGAUAGCUCAGUUGGUAGAGCAGAGGACUGUAGGCAGUUCCUCCUAUGAAGUGCUAUCGUUCCAGCAUCGCUUGUUCAACUCCCGCUCAAAGCAAGCCUUGUCUUCAUCUGUCAGCUCCUCCAAAAUUUAAAAACACAAACAAGAUAACUGCUACUUUAUUUUCCAACCAUCAAUUUUUUAUUCACCCAGCCUAAAAGUCCUGAUUAUCAGUUCUGGGUCCCUGGCAAUGACUGUUGGGUACAAACUGAGAAGCUGUGCUCUGAAGGUAGGGCUGGGCUUUUCACUGACCAUGUAGGUGGAUUAGUUGUGUGGGCAAAGUGUGUCAUCAUAGCCACUAUGUUUUCUGCACUUGGAGUAGACAGCACCUUGAUAGCUCAGUUGGUAGAGCAGAGGACUGUAGGCAGUUCCUCCUAUGAAGUGCUGUGGUUCCAAGGUCGCUGGUUCAACUCCCGCUCAAAGCAAGCCUUGCGUUCAUCUGUCAGCUCCUCCAAAAUUUAAAAACACAAACAAGAUAACUCCUACUUUAUUUUCCAACCAUCAAUUUUUUAUUCACCCAGCCUAAAAGUCCUGAUUAUCAGUUCUGGGUCCCUGGCAAUGACUGUUGGGUACAAACUGAGAAGCUGCGCUCUGAAGGUAGGGCUGGGCUUUUCACUGACCAUGUAGGUGGAUUAGUUGUGUGGGCAAAGUGUGUCAUCAUAGCCACUAUGUUUUCUGCACUUGGAGUAGACAGCACCUUGAUAGCUCAGUUGGUAGAGCAGAGGACUGUAGGCAGUUCCUCCUAUGAAGUGCUAUCGUUCCAGCAUCGCUUGUUCAACUCCCGCUCAAAGCAAGCCUUGUCUUCAUCUGUCAGCUCCUCCAAAAUUUAAAAACACAAACAAGAUAACUGCUACUUUAUUUUCCAACCAUCAAUUUUUUAUUCACCCAGCCUAAAAGUCCUGAUUAUCAGUUCUGGGUCCCUGGCAAUGACUGUUGGGUACAAACUGAGAAGCUGCGCUCUGAAGGUAGGGCUGGGCUUUUCACUGACCAUGUAGGUGGAUUAGUUGUGUGGGCAAAGUGUGUCAUCAUAGCCACUAUGUUUUCUGCACUUGGACUAGACAGCACCUUGAUAGCUCAGUUGGUAGAGCAGAGGACUGUAGGCAGUUCCUCCUAUGAAGUGCUGUCGUUCCAGGGUCGCUGGUUCAACUCCCGCUCAAAGCAAGCCUUGUGUUCAUCUGUCAGCUCCUCCAAAAUUUAAAAACACAAACAAGAUAACUCCUACUUUAUUUUCCAACCAUCAAUUUUUUAUUCACCCAGCCUAAAAGUCCUGAUUAUCAGUUCUGGGUCCCUGGCAAUGACUGUUGGGUACAAACUGAGAAGCUGCGCUCUGAAGGUAGGGCUGGGCUUUUCACUGACCAUGUAGGUGGAUUAGUUGUGUGGGCAAAGUGUGUCAUUAUAGCCACUAUGUUUUCUGCACUUGGACUAGACAGCAGCUUGAUAGCUCAGUUGGUAGAGCAGAGGACUGUAGGCAGUUCCUCCUAUGAAGUGCUGUGGUUCCAAGGUCGCUGGUUCAACUCCCGCUCAAAGCAAGCCUUGUGUUCAUCUGUCAGCUCCUCCAAAAUUUAAAAACACAAACAAGAUAACUCCUACUUUAUUUUCCAACCAUCAAUUUUUUAUUCACCCAGCCUAAAAGUCCUGAUUAUCAGUUCUGGGUCCCUGGCAAUGACUGUUGGGUACAAACUGAGAAGCUGUGCUCUGAAGGUAGGGCUGGGCUUUUCACUGACCAUGUUGGUGGAUUAGUUGUGUGGGCAAAGUGUGUCAUCAUAGCCACUAUGUUUUCUGCACUUGGAGUAGACAGCACCUUGAUAGCUCAGUUGGUAGAGCAGAGGACUGUAGGCAGUUCCUCCUAUGAAGUGCUGUGGUUCCAACGUCGCUGGUUCAACUCCCGCUCAAAGCAAGCCUUGUCUUCAUCUGUCAGCUCCUCCAAAAUUUAAAAACACAAACAAGAUAACUCCUACUUUAUUUUCCAACCAUCAAUUUUUUAUUCACCCAGCCUAAAAGUCCUGAUUAUCAGUUCUGGGUCCCUGGCAAUGACUGUUGGGUACAAACUGAGAAGCUGUGCUCUGAAGGUAGGGCUGGGCUUUUCACUGACCAUGUAGGUGGAUUAGUUGUGUGGGCAAAGUGUGUCAUCAUAGCCACUAUGUUUUCUGCACUUGGAGUAGACAGCACCUUGAUAGCUCAGUUGGUAGAGCAGAGUAAUGUAGGCAGUUCCUCCUAUGAAGUGCUGUGGUUCCAAGGUCGCUGGUUCAACUCCCGCUCAAAGCAAGCCUUGUGUUCAUCUGUCAGCUCCUCCAAAAUUUAAAAACACAAACAAGAUAACUCCUACUUUAUUUUCCAACCAUCAAUUUUUUAUUCACCCAGCCUAAAAGUCCUGAUUAUCAGUUCUGGGUCUGGCAAUGACUGUUGGGUACAAACUGAGAAGCUGUGCUCUGAAGGUAGGGCUGGGCUUUUCACUGACCAUGUAGGUGGAUUAGUUGUGUGGGCAAAGUGUGUCAUCAUAGCCACUAUGUUUUCUGCACUUGGAGUAGACAGCACCUUGAUAGCUCAGUUGGUAGAGCAGAGGACUGUAGGCAGUUCCUCCUAUGAAGUGCUGUGGUUCCAAGGUCGCUGGUUCAACUCCCGCUCAAAGCAAGCCUUGUGUUCAUCUGUCAGCUCCUCCAAAAUUUAAAAACACAAACAAGAUAACUCCUACUUUAUUUUCCAACCAUCAAUUUUUUAUUCACCCAGCCUAAAAGUCCUGAUUAUCAGUUCUGGGUCCCUGGCAAUGACUGUUGGGUACAAACUGAGAAGCUGUGCUCUGAAGGUAGGGCUGGGCUUUUCACUGACCAUGUAGGUGGAUUAGCUGUGUGGGCAAAGUGUGUCAUCAUAGCCACUAUGUUUUCUGCACUUGGAGUAGACAGCACCCUGAUAGCUCAGUUGGUAGAACAGAGGACUGUAGGCAGUUCCUCCUAUGAAGUGCUGUGGUUCCAAGGUCGCUGGUUCAACUCCCGCUCAAAGUAAGCCUUGUGUUCAUCUGUCAGCUCCUCCAAAAUUUAAAAACACAAACAAGAUAACUCCUACUUUAUUUUCCAACCAUCAAUUUUUUAUUCACCCAGCCUAAAAGUCCUGAUUAUCAGUUCUGGGUCCCUGGCAAUGACUGUUGGGUACAAACUGAGAAGCUGUGCUCUGAAGGUAGGGCUGGGCUUUUCACUGACCAUGUAGGUGGAUUAGUUGUGUGGGCAAAGUGUGUCAUCAUAGCCACUAUGUUUUCUGCACUUGGAGUAGACAGCACCUUGAUAGCUCAGUUGGUAGAGCAGAGGACUGUAGGCAGUUCCUCCUAUGAAGUGCUGUGGUUCCAAGGUCGCUGGUUCAACUCCCGCUCAAAGCAAGCCUUGUGUUCAUCUGUCAGCUCCUCCAAAAUUUAAAAACACAAACAAGAUAACUCCUACUUUAUUUUCCAACCAUCAAUUUUUUAUUCACCCAGCCUAAAAGUCCUGAUUAUCAGUUCUGGGUCCCUGGCAAUGACUGUUGGGUACAAACUGAGAAGCUGUGCUCUGAAGGUAGGGCUGGGCUUUUCACUGACCAUGUAGGUGGAUUAGUUGUGUGGGCAAAGUGUGUCAUCAUAGCCACUAUGUUUUCUGCACUUGGAGUAGACAGCACCUUGAUAGCUCAGUUGGUAGAGCAGAGGACUGUAGGCAGUUCCUCCUAUGAAGUGCUGUGGUUCCAACGUCGCUGGUUCAACUCCCGCUCAAAGCAAGCCUUGUGUUCAUCUGUCAGCUCCUCCAAAAUUUAAAAACACAAACAAGAUAACUCCUACUUUAUUUUCCAACCAUCAAUUUUUUAUUCACCCAGCCUAAAAGUCCUGAUUAUCAGUUCUGGGUCCCUGGCAAUGACUGUUGGGUACAAACUGAGAAGCUGUGCUCUGAAGGUAGGGCUGGGCUUUUCACUGACCAUGUAGGUGGAUUAGUUGUGUGGGCAAAGUGUGUCAUCAUAGCCACUAUGUUUUCUGCACUUGGAGUAGACAGCACCCUGAUAGCUCAGUUGGUAGAACAGAGGACUCUAGGCAGUUCCUCCUAUGAAGUGCUGUGGUUCCAAGGUCGCUGGUUCAACUCCCGCUCAAAGCAAGCCUUGUCUUCAUCUGUCAGCUCCUCCAAAAUUUAAAAACACAAACAAGAUAACUCCUACUUUAUUUUCCAACCGUCAAUUUUUUAUUCACCCAGCCUAAAAGUCCUGAUUAUCAGUUCUGGGUCCCUGGCAAUGACUGUUGGGUACAAACUGAGAAGCUGUGCUCUGAAGGUAGGGCUGGGCUUUUCACUGACCAUGUAGGUGGAUUAGUUGUGUGGGCAAAGUGUGUCAUCAUAGCCACUAUGUUUUCUGCACUUGGAGUAGACAGCACCUUGAUAGCUCAGUUGGUAGAGCAGAGGACUGUAGGCAGUUCCUCCUAUGAAGUGCUGUGGUUCCAACGUCGCUGGUUCAACUCCCGCUCAAAGCAAGCCUUGUCUUCAUCUGUCAGCUCCUCCAAAAUUUAAAAACACAAACAAGAUAACUCCUACUUUAUUUUCCAACCAUCAAUUUUUUAUUCACCCAGCCUAAAAGUCCUGAUUAUCAGUUCUGGGUCCCUGGCAAUGACUGUUGGGUACAAACUGAGAAGCUGUGCUCUGAAGGUAGGGCUGGGCUUUUCACUGACCAUGUAGGUGGAUUAGUUGUGUGGGCAAAGUGUGUCAUCAUAGCCACUAUGUUUUCUGCACUUGGAGUAGACAGCACCUUGAUAGCUCAGUUGGUAGAGCAGAGGACUGUAGGCAGUUCCUCCUAUGAAGUGCUGUGGUUCCAAGGUUGCUGGUUCAACUCCCGCUCAAAGCAAGCCUUGUGUUCAUCUGUCAGCUCCUCCAAAAUUUAAAAACGCAAACAAGAUAACUCCUACUUUAUUUUCCAACCAUCAAUUUUUUAUUCACCCAGCCUAAAAGUCCUGAUUAUCAGUUCUGGGUCCCUGGCAAUGACUGUUGGGUACAAACUGAGAAGCUGUGCUCUGAAGGUAGGGCUGGGCUUUUCACUGACCAUGUUGGUGGAUUAGUUGUGUGGGCAAAGUGUGUCAUCAUAGCCACUAUGUUUUCUGCACUUGGAGUAGACAGCACCUUGAUAGCUCAGUUGGUAGAGCAGAGGACUGUAGGCAGUUCCUCCUAUGAAGUGCUGUGGUUCCAAGGUCGCUGGUUCAACUCCCGCUCAAAGCAAGCCUUGUCUUCAUCUGUCAGCUCCUCCAAAAUUUAAAAACACAAACAAGAUAACUCCUACUUUAUUUUCCAACCAUCAAUUUUUUAUUCACCCAGCCUAAAAGUCCUGAUUAUCAGUUCUGGGUCCCUGGCAAUGACUGUUGGGUACAAACUGAGAAGCUGUGCUCUGAAGGUAGGGCUGGGCUUUUCACUGACCAUGUAGGUGGAUUAGUUGUGUGGGCAAAGUGUGUCAUCAUAGCCACUAUGUUUUCUGCACUUGGAGUAGACAGCACCUUGAUAGCUCAGUUGGUAGAGCAGAGGACUGUAGGCAGUUCCUCCUAUGAAGUGCUGUGGUUCCAAGGUCGCUGGUUCAACUCCCGCUCAAAGCAAGCCUUGUGUUCAUCUGUCAGCUCCUCCAAAAUUUAAAAACACAAACAAGAUAACUCCUACUUUAUUUUCCAACCAUCAAUUUUUUAUUCACCCAGCCUAAAAGUCCUGAUUAUCAGUUCUGGGUCCCUGGCAAUGACUGUUGGGUACAAACUGAGAAGCUGUGCUCUGAAGGUAGGGCUGGGCUUUUCACUGACCAUGUAGGUGGAUUAGUUGUGUGGGCAAAGUGUGUCAUCAUAGCCACUAUGUUUUCUGCACUUGGAGUAGACAGCACCUUGAUAGCUCAGUUGGUAGAGCAGAGGACUGUAGGCAGUUCCUCCUAUGAAGUGCUGUGGUUCCAAGGUCGCUGGUUCAACUCCCGCUCAAAGCAAGCCUUGUCUUCAUCUGUCAGCUCCUCCAAAAUUUAAAAACACAAACAAGAUAACUCCUACUUUAUUUUCCAACCGUCAAUUUUUUAUUCACCCAGCCUAAAAGUCCUGAUUAUCAGUUCUGGGUCCCUGGCAAUGACUGUUGGGUACAAACUGAGAAGCUGUGCUCUGAAGGUAGGGCUGGGCUUUUCACUGACCAUGUAGGUGGAUUAGUUGUGUGGGCAAAGUGUGUCAUCAUAGCCACUAUGUUUUCUGCACUUGGAGUAGACAGCACCCUGAUAGCUCAGUUGGUAGAACAGAGGACUCUAGGCAGUUCUUCCUAUGAAGUGCUGUGGUUCCAAGGUCGCUGGUUCAACUCCCGCUCAAAGCAAGCCUUGUCUUCAUCUGUCAGCUCCUCCAAAAUUUAAAAACACAAACAAGAUAACUCCUACUUUAUUUUCCAACCGUCAAUUUUUUAUUCACCCAGCCUAAAAGUCCUGAUUAUCAGUUCUGGGUCCCUGGCAAUGACUGUUGGGUACAAACUGAGAAGCUGUGCUCUGAAGGUAGGGCUGGGCUUUUCACUGACCAUGUAGGUGGAUUAGUUGUGUGGGCAAAGUGUGUCAUCAUAGCCACUAUGUUUUCUGCACUUGGAGUAGACAGCACCUUGAUAGCUCAGUUGGUAGAGCAGAGGACUGUAGGCAGUUCCUCCUAUGAAGUGCUGUGGUUCCAAGGUCGCUGGUUCAACUCCCGCUCAAAGCAAGCCUUGUGUUCAUCUGUCAGCUCCUCCAAAAUUUAAAAACACAAACAAGAUAACUCCUACUUUAUUUUCCAACCGUCAAUUUUUUAUUCACCCAGCCUAAAAGUCCUGAUUAUCAGUUCUGGGUCCCUGGCAAUGACUGUUGGGUACAAACUGAGAAGCUGUGCUCUGAAGGUAGGGCUGGGCUUUUCACUGACCAUGUAGGUGGAUUAGUUGUGUGGGCAAAGUGUGUCAUCAUAGCCACUAUGUUUUCUGCACUUGGAGUAGACAGCACCUUGAUAGCUCAGUUGGUAGAGCAGAGGACUGUAGGCAGUUCCUCCUAUGAAGUGCUGUGGUUCCAAGGUCGCUGGUUCAACUCCCGCUCAAAGCAAGCCUUGUGUUCAUCUGUCAGCUCCUCCAAAAUUUAAAAACACAAACAAGAUAACUCCUACUUUAUUUUCCAACCAUCAAUUUUUUAUUCACCCAGCCUAAAAGUCCUGAUUAUCAGUUCUGGGUCCCUGGCAAUGACUGUUGGGUACAAACUGAGAAGCUGCGCUCUGAAGGUAGGGCUGGGCUUUUCACUGACCAUGUAGGUGGAUUAGUUGUGUGGGCAAAGUGUGUCAUCAUAGCCACUAUGUUUUCUGCACUUGGAGUAGACAGCACCUUGAUAGCUCAGUUGGUAGAGCAGAGGACUGUAGGCAGUUCUUCCUAUGAAGUGCUGUCGUUCCAGGGUCGCUGGUUCAACUCCCGCUCAAUGCAAGCCUUGUGUUCAUCUGUCAGCUCCUCCAAAAUUUAAAAACACAAACAAGAUAACUCCUACUUUAUUUUCCAACCAUCAAUUUUUUAUUCACCCAGCCUAAAAGUCCUGAUUAUCAGUUCUGGGUCCCUGGCAAUGACUGUUGGGUACAAACUGAGAAGCUGCGCUCUGAAGGUAGGGCUGGGCUUUUCACUGACCAUGUAGGUGGAUUAGUUGUGUGGGCAAAGUGUGUCAUCAUAGCCACUAUGUUUUCUGCACUUGGAGUAGACAGCACCUUGAUAGCUCAGUUGGUAGAGCAGAGGACUGUAGGCAGUUCCUCCUAUGAAGUGCUGUGGUUCCAAGGUCGCUGGUUCAACUCCCGCUCAAAGCAAGCCUUGUGUUCAUCUGUCAGCUCCUCCAAAAUUUAAAAACACAAACAAGAUAACUCCUACUUUAUUUUCCAACCAUCAAUUUUUUAUUCACCCAGCCUAAAAGUCCUGAUUAUCAGUUCUGGGUCCCUGGCAAUGACUGUUGGGUACAAACUGAGAAGCUGUGCUCUGAAGGUAGGGCUGGGCUUUUCACUGACCAUGUAGGUGGAUUAGUUGUGUGGGCAAAGUGUGUCAUCAUAGCCACUAUGUUUUCUGCACUUGGAGUAGACAGCACCUUCAUAGCUCAGUUGGUAGAGCAGAGGACUGUAGGCAGUUCCUCCUAUGAAGUGCUGUGGUUCCAAGGUCGCUGGUUCAACUGCCGCUCAAAGUAAGCCUUGUCUUCAUCUGUCAGCUCCUCCAAAAUUUAAAAACACAAACAAGAUAACUCCUACUUUAUUUUCCAACCAUCAAUUUUUUAUUCACCCAGCCUAAAAGUCCUGAUUAUCAGUUCUGGGUCCCUGGCAAUGACUGUUGGGUACAAACUGAGAAGCUGUGCUCUGAAGGUAGGGCUGGGCUUUUCACUGACCAUGUAGGUGGAUUAGUUGUGUGGGCAAAGUGUGUCAUCAUAGCCACUAUGUUUUCUGCACUUGGAGUAGACAGCACCCUGAUAGCUCAGUUGGUAGAACAGAGGACUCUAGGCAGUUCCUCCUAUGAAGUGCUGUGGUUCCAAGGUCGCUGGUUCAACUCCCGCUCAAAGCAAGCCUUGUCUUCAUCUGUCAGCUCCUCCAAAAUUUAAAAACACAAACAAGAUAACUCCUACUUUAUUUUCCAACCGUCAAUUUUUUAUUCACCCAGCCUAAAAGUCCUGAUUAUCAGUUCUGGGUCCCUGGCAAUGACUGUUGGGUACAAACUGAGAAGCUGUGCUCUGAAGGUAGGGCUGGGCUUUUCACUGACCAUGUAGGUGGAUUAGUUGUGUGGGCAAAGUGUGUCAUCAUAGCCACUAUGUUUUCUGCACUUGGAGUAGACAGCACCUUGAUAGCUCAGUUGGUAGAGCAGAGGACUGUAGGCAGUUCCUCCUAUGAAGUGCUGUGGUUCCAAGGUCGCUGGUUCAACUCCCGCUCAAAGCAAGCCUUGUGUUCAUCUGUCAGCUCCUCCAAAAUUUAAAAACACAAACAAGAUAACUCCUACUUUAUUUUCCAACCAUCAAUUUUUUAUUCACCCAGCCUAAAAGUCCUGAUUAUCAGUUCUGGGUCCCUGGCAAUGACUGUUGGGUACAAACUGAGAAGCUGUGCUCUGAAGGUAGGGCUGGGCUUUUCACUGACCAUGUAGGUGGAUUAGUUGUGUGGGCAAAGUGUGUCAUCAUAGCCACUAUGUUUUCUGCACUUGGAGUAGACAGCACCUUGAUAGCUCAGUUGGUAGAGCAGAGGACUGUAGGCAGUUCCUCCUAUGAAGUGCUGUGGUUCCAAGGUCGCUGGUUCAACUCCCGCUCAAAGCAAGCCUUGUGUUCAUCUGUCAGCUCCUCCAAAAUUUAAAAACACAAACAAGAUAACUCCUACUUUAUUUUCCAACCAUCAAUUUUUUAUUCACCCAGCCUAAAAGUCCUGAUUAUCAGUUCUGGGUCCCUGGCAAUGACUGUUGGGUACAAACUGAGAAGCUGUGCUCUGAAGGUAGGGCUGGGCUUUUCACUGACCAUGUAGGUGGAUUAGUUGUGUGGGCAAAGUGUGUCAUCAUAGCCACUAUGUUUUCUGCACUUGGAGUAGACAGCACCUUGAUAGCUCAGUUGGUAGAGCAGAGGACUGUAGGCAGUUCCUCCUAUGAAGUGCUGUGGUUCCAAGGUCGCUGGUUCAACUCCCGCUCAAAGCAAGCCUUGUCUUCAUCUGUCAGCUCCUCCAAAAUUUAAAAACACAAACAAGAUAACUCCUACUUUAUUUUCCAACCGUCAAUUUUUUAUUCACCCAGCCUAAAAGUCCUGAUUAUCAGUUCUGGGUCCCUGGCAAUGACUGUUGGGUACAAACUGAGAAGCUGCGCUCUGAAGGUAGGGCUGGGCUUUUCACUGACCAUGUAGGUGGAUUAGUUGUGUGGGCAAAGUGUGUCAUCAUAGCCACUAUGUUUUCUGCACUUGGAGCAGACAGCACCUUGAUAGCUCAGUUGGUAGAGCAGAGGACUGUAGGCAGUUCCUCCUAUGAAGUGCUGUGGUUCCAGGGUCGCUCGUUCAACUCCCGCUCAAAGCAAGCCUUGUGUUCAUCUGUCAGCUCCUCCAAAAUUUAAAAACACAAACAAGAUAACUCCUACUUUAUUUUCCAACCAUCAAUUUUUUAUUCACCCAGCCUAAAAGUCCUGAUUAUCAGUUCUGGGUCCCUGGCAAUGACUGUUGGGUACAAACUGAGAAGCUGUGCUCUGAAGGUAGGGCUGGGCUUUUCACUGACCAUGUAGAUGGAUUAGUUGUGUGGGCAAAGUGUGUCAUCAUAGCCACUAUGUUUUCUGCACUUGGAGUACACAGCACCUUGAUAGCUCACUUGGUAGAGCAGAGGACUGUAGGCAGUUCCUCCUAUGCAGUGCUGUGGUUCCAAGGUCGCUGGUUCAACUCCCGCUCAAAGCAAGCCUUGUGUUCAUCUGUCAGCUCCUCCAAAAUUUAAAAACACAAACAAGAUAACUCCUACUUUAUUUUCCAACCAUCAAUUUUUUAUUCACCCAGCCUAAAAGUCCUGAUUAUCAGUUCUGGGUCCCUGGCAAUGACUGUUGGGUACAAACUGAGAAGCUGCGCUCUGAAGGUAGGGCUGGGCUUUUCACUGACCAUGUAGGUGGAUUAGUUGUGUGGGCAAAGUGUGUCAUCAUAGCCACUAUGUUUUCUGCACUUGGAGUAGACAGCACCUUGAUAGCUCAGUUGGUAGAGCAGAGGACUGUAGGCAGUUCUUCCUAUGAAGUGCUGUCGUUCCAGGGUCGCUGGUUCAACUCCCGCUCAAAGCAAGCCUUGUGUUCAUCUGUCAGCUCCUCCAAAAUUUAAAAACACAAACAAGAUAACUCCUACUUUAUUUUCCAACCAUCAAUUUUUUAUUCACCCAGCCUAAAAGUCCUGAUUAUCAGUUCUGGGUCCCUGGCAAUGACUGUUGGGUACAAACUGAGAAGCUGCGCUCUGAAGGUAGGGCUGGGCUUUUCACUGACCAUGUAGGUGGAUUAGUUGUGUGGGCAAAGUGUGUCAUCAUAGCCACUAUGUUUUCUGCACUUGGAGUAGACAGCACCUUGAUAGCUCAGUUGGUAGAGCAGAGGACUGUAGGCAGUUCUUCCUAUGAAGUGCUGUCGUUCCAGGGUCGCUGGUUCAACUCCCGCUCAAAGCAAGCCUUGUGUUCAUCUGUCAGCUCCUCCAAAAUUUAAAAACACAAACAAGAUAACUCCUACUUUAUUUUCCAACCAUCAAUUUUUUAUUCACCCAGCCUAAAAGUCCUGAUUAUCAGUUCUGGGUCCCUGGCAAUGACUGUUGGGUACAAACUGAGAAGCUGUGCUCUGAAGGUAGGGCUGGGCUUUUCACUGACCAUGUAGGUGGAUUAGUUGUGUGGGCAAAGUGUGUCAUCAUAGCCACUAUGUUUUCUGCACUUGGAGUAGACAGCACCUUGAUAGCUCAGUUGGUAGAGCAGAGGACUGUAGGCAGUUCCUCCUAUGAAGUGCUGUGGUUCCAAGGUUGCUGGUUCAACUCCCGCUCAAAGCAAGCCUUGUGUUCAUCUGUCAGCUCCUCCAAAAUUUAAAAACACAAACAAGAUAACUCCUACUUUAUUUUCCAACCAUCAAUUUUUUAUUCACCCAGCCUAAAAGUCCUGAUUAUCAGUUCUGGGUCCCUGGCAAUGACUGUUGGGUACAAACUGAGAAGCUGUGCUCUGAAGGUAGGGCUGGGCUUUUCACUGACCAUGUAGGUGGAUUAGUUGUGUGGGCAAAGUGUGUCAUCAUAGCCACUAUGUUUUCUGCACUUGGAGUAGACAGCACCUUGAUAGCUCAGUUGGUAGAGCAGAGGACUGUAGGCAGUUCCUCCUAUGAAGUGCUGUCGUUCCAGGGUCGCUUGUUCAACUCCCGCUCAAAGCAAGCCUUGUCUUCAUCUGUCAGCUCCUCCAAAAUUUAAAAACACAAACAAGAUAACUGCUACUUUAUUUUCCAACCAUCAAUUUUUUAUUCACCCAGCCUAAAAGUCCUGAUUAUCAGUUCUGGGUCCCUGGCAAUGACUGUUGGGUACAAACUGAGAAGCUGUGCUCUGAAGGUAGGGCUGGGCUUUUCACUGACCAUGUAGGUGGAUUAGUUGUGUGGGCAAAGUGUGUCAUCAUAGCCACUAUGUUUUCUGCACUUGGAGUAGACAGCACCUUGAUAGCUCAGUUGGUAGAGCAGAGGACUGUAGGCAGUUCCUCCUAUGAAGUGCUGUCGUUCCAAGGUCGCUGGUUCAACUCCCGCUCAAAGCAAGCCUUGUGUUCAUCUGUCAGCUCCUCCAAAAUUUAAAAACACAAACAAGAUAACUCCUACUUUAUUUUCCAACCGUCAAUUUUUUAUUCACCCAGCCUAAAAGUCCUGAUUAUCAGUUCUGGGUCCCUGGCAAUGACUGUUGGGUACAAACUGAGAAGCUGUGCUCUGAAGGUAGGGCUGGGCUUUUCACUGACCAUGUUGGUGGAUUAGUUGUGUGGGCAAAGUGUGUCAUCAUAGCCACUAUGUUUUCUGCACUUGGAGUAGACAGCUCCUUGAUAGCUCAGUUGGUAGAGCACAGGACUGUAGGCAGUUCCUCCUAUGAAGUGCUGUGGUUCCAAGGUCGCUGGUUCAACUCCCGCUCAAAGCAAGCCUUGUCUUCAUCUGUCAGCUCCUCCAAAAUUUAAAAACACAAACAAGAUAACUCCUACUUUAUUUUCCAACCAUCAAUUUUUUAUUCACCCAGCCUAAAAGUCCUGAUUAUCAGUUCUGGGUCCCUGGCAAUGACUGUUGGGUACAAACUGAGAAGCUGUGCUCUGAAGGUAGGGCUGGGCUUUUCACUGACCAUGUAGGUGGAUUAGUUGUGUGGGCAAAGUGUGUCAUCAUAGCCACUAUGUUUUCUGCACUUGGAGUAGACAGCACCUUGAUAGCUCAGUUGGUAGAGCAGAGUAAUGUAGGCAGUUCCUCCUAUGAAGUGCUGUGGUUCCAAGGUCGCUGGUUCAACUCCCGCUCAAAGCAAGCCUUGUGUUCAUCUGUCAGCUCCUCCAAAAUUUAAAAACACAAACAAGAUAACUCCUACUUUAUUUUCCAACCAUCAAUUUUUUAUUCACCCAGCCUAAAAGUCCUGAUUAUCAGUUCUGGGUCUGGCAAUGACUGUUGGGUACAAACUGAGAAGCUGUGCUCUGAAGGUAGGGCUGGGCUUUUCACUGACCAUGUAGGUGGAUUAGUUGUGUGGGCAAAGUGUGUCAUCAUAGCCACUAUGUUUUCUGCACUUGGAGUAGACUGCACCUUGAUAGCUCAGUUGGUAGAGCAGAGGACUGUAGGCAGUUCCUCCUAUGAAGUGCUGUGGUUCCAAGGUCGCUGGUUCAACUCCCGCUCAAAGCAAGCCUUGUCUUCAUCUGUCAGCUCCUCCAAAAUUUAAAAACACAAACAAGAUAACUCCUACUUUAUUUUCCAACCAUCAAUUUUUUAUUCACCCAGCCUAAAAGUCCUGAUUAUCAGUUCUGGGUCCCUGGCAAUGACUGUUGGGUACAAACUGAGAAGCUGUGCUCUGAAGGUAGGGCUGGGCUUUUCACUGACCAUGUAGGUGGAUUAGUUGUGUGGGCAAAGUGUGUCAUCAUAGCCACUAUGUUUUCUGCACUUGGAGUAGACAGCACCCUGAUAGCUCAGUUGGUAGAACAGAGGACUCUAGACAGUUCCUCCUAUGAAGUGCUGUGGUUCCAAGGUCGCUGGUUCAACUCCCGCUCAAAGCAAGCCUUGUGUUCAUCUGUCAGCUCCUCCAAAAUUUAAAAACACAAACAAGAUAACUCCUACUUUAUUUUCCAACCAUCAAUUUUUUAUUCACCCAGCCUAAAAGUCCUGAUUAUCAGUUCUGGGUCCCUGGCAAUGACUGUUGGGUACAAACUGAGAAGCUGUGCUCUGAAGGUAGGGCUGGGCUUUUCACUGACCAUGUAGGUGGAUUAGUUGUGUGGGCAAAGUGUGUCAUCAUAGCCACUAUGUUUUCUGCACUUGGAGUAGACAGCACCUUGAUAGCUCAGUUGGUAGAGCAGAGGACUGUAGGCAGUUCCUCCUAUGAAGUGCUGUGGUUCCAAGGUCGCUGGUUCAACUCCCGCUCAAAGCAAGCCUUGUCUUCAUCUGUCAGCUCCUCCAAAAUUUAAAAACACAAACAAGAUAACUCCUACUUUAUUUUCCAACCAUCAAUUUUUUAUUCACCCAGCCUAAAAGUCCUGAUUAUCAGUUCUGGGUCCCUGGCAAUGACUGUUGGGUACAAACUGAGAAGCUGUGCUCUGAAGGUAGGGCUGGGCUUUUCACUGACCAUGUAGGUGGAUUAGUUGUGUGGGCAAAGUGUGUCAUCAUAGCCACUAUGUUUUCUGCACUUGGAGUAGACAGCACCCUGAUAGCUCAGUUGGUAGAACAGAGGACUCUAGGCAGUUCCUCCUAUGAAGUGCUGUGGUUCCAAGGUCGCUGGUUCAACUCCCGCUCAAAGCAAGCCUUGUCUUCAUCUGUCAGCUCCUCCAAAAUUUAAAAACACAAACAAGAUAACUCCUACUUUAUUUUCCAACCGUCAAUUUUUUAUUCACCCAGCCUAAAAGUCCUGAUUAUCAGUUCUGGGUCCCUGGCAAUGACUGUUGGGUACAAACUGAGAAGCUGUGCUCUGAAGGUAGGGCUGGGCUUUUCACUGACCAUGUAGGUGGAUUAGUUGUGUGGGCAAAGUGUGUCAUCAUAGCCACUAUGUUUUCUGCACUUGGAGUAGACAGCACCUUGAUAGCUCAGUUGGUAGAGCAGAGGACUGUAGGCAGUUCCUCCUAUGAAGUGCUGUGGUUCCAACGUCGCUGGUUCAACUCCCGCUCAAAGCAAGCCUUGUCUUCAUCUGUCAGCUCCUCCAAAAUUUAAAAACACAAACAAGAUAACUCCUACUUUAUUUUCCAACCGUCAAUUUUUUGUUCACCCAGCCUAAAAGUCCUGAUUAUCAGUUCUGGGUCCCUGGCAAUGACUGUUGGGUACAAACUGAGAAGCUGUGCUCUGAAGGUAGGGCUGGGCUUUUCACUGACCAUGUAGGUGGAUUAGUUGUGUGGGCAAAGUGUGUCAUCAUAGCCACUAUGUUUUCUGCACUUGGAGUAGACAGCACCUUGAUAGCUCAGUUGGUAGAGCAGAGGACUGUAGGCAGUUCCUCCUAUGAAGUGCUGUCGUUCCAGGGUCGCUGGUUCAACUCCCGCUCAAAGCAAGCCUUGUGUUCAUCUGUCAGCUCCUCCAAAAUUUAAAAACACAAACAAGAUAACUCCUACUUUAUUUUCCAACCAUCAAUUUUUUAUUCACCCAGCCUAAAAGUCCUGAUUAUCAGUUCUGGGUCCCUGGCAAUGACUGUUGGGUACAAACUGAGAAGCUGCGCUCUGAAGGUAGGGCUGGGCUUUUCACUGACCAUGUAGGUGGAUUAGUUGUGUGGGCAAAGUGUGUCAUCAUAGCCACUAUGUUUUCUGCACUUGGAGUAGACAGCACCUUGAUAGCUCAGUUGGUAGAGCAGAGGACUGUAGGCAGUUCCUCCAAUGAAGUGCUGUCGUUCCAGGGUCGCUGGUUCAACUCCCGCUCAAAGCAAGCCUUGUCUUCAUCUGUCAGCUCCUCCAAAAUUUAAAAACACAAACAAGAUAACUCCUACUUUAUUUUCCAACCAUCAAUUUUUUAUUCACCCAGCCUAAAAGUCCUGAUUAUCAGUUCUG